GCCGCGCGAGCGCAUACCCCCUCUACCAUAAAUUUUGACGUCCAUUCUCCCAAUUGGGGAGAUGAUAGACCAACAUGCUCGCCAAGUGCAAUGUGAGCCAUUGAUCUAGGCCACGACCCUUCUUGA
rnacentral:rRNA from 1 species